CCUACGUGGGGCAGCAGUGGGGAAUAUUGGACAAUGGGCGAAAGCCUGAUCCAGCCAUGCCGCGUGUGUGAAGAAGGCCUUCGGGUUGUAAAGCACUUUCAGUGGGGAAGAAAGCCUUGGGGCUAAUACCCUCGAGGAAGGACAUCACCCACAGAAGAAGCACCGGCUAACUCCGUGCCAGCAGCCGCGGUAAUACGGAGGGUGCGAGCGUUAAUCGGAAUUACUGGGCGUAAAGCGCGCGUAGGCGGUCUGAUAAGCCGGUUGUGAAAGCCCCGGGCUCAACCUGGGAACGGCAUCCGGAACUGUCAGGCUAGAGUGCAGGAGAGGAAGGUAGAAUUCCCGGUGUAGCGGUGAAAUGCGUAGAGAUCGGGAGGAAUACCAGUGGCGAAGGCGGCCUUCUGGACUGACACUGACGCUGAGGUGCGAAAGCGUGGGUAGCAAACAGGAUUAGAUACCCUGGUAGUC
rnacentral:rRNA from 1 species